rnacentral:rRNA from 1 species
UCCGUAAGUAGCGGCGAGCGAACGCGGAUUAGCCCAAACCAAUAAAGUUUUCUUUAUUGGGGUUGCGGACAUAUCAUAACGAAGAGGUAUCGUAAUUGAAGAGGUUUGGAAAGACCCACCACAGAAGGUAAUAGUCCUGUAUGUUAAACGAGAAGACUUUAGAUAUGAUCCAGAGUACCACGGGACACGUGAAACCCUGUGGGAAGCAGGAGGGACCACCCUCCAAGGCUAAAUACUACCUAGUGACCGAUAGCGUAUAGUACCGUGAGGGAAAGGUGAAAAGAACCCCGGGAGGGGAGUGAAAUAGAACCUGAAACCCUGCACUUACAAGCUGUGGAAGCACAUUUCUUGUGUGACCGCGUACUUUUUGUAGAACGGGCCAACGAGUUACGUUAAGUAGCAAGGUUAAGCACUUAAGGUGCGGAGCCGUAGCGAAAGCGAGUUUUAACUGAGCGUUCAGUUACUUGACGUAGACCCGAAACCGGGCGACCUACCCAUGAGCAGGAUGAAGCGAAAGUAAAAUUUCGUGGAGGUCCGAACCCACGAGCGUUGAAAAGCUCGGGGAUGACUUGUGGGUAGCGGUGAAAUUCCAAUCGAGCCCGGAGAUAGCUGGUUCUCCCCGAAAUAGCUUUAGGGCUAGCCUCAAGGUGAGAGAUACGGAGGUAGAGCACUGAAUGUCCUAGGGGGUAUUGCACCUACCGAAGACUAUCAAACUCCGAAUGCCGUCAUCUUAUACUUGGGAGUCAGACUGUGGGUGAUAAGAUUCAUAGUCGAAAGGGCAACAGCCCAGAUCGUCAGCUAAGGUCCCUAAAUGUAAGUUAAGUGGUAAAGGAUGUGGGAUUGCACAGACAACCAGGAUGUUGGCUUAGAAGCAGCCACUCAUUCAAAGAGUGCGUAAUAGCUCACUGGUCGAGUGAUCCUGCGCCGAAGAUUUCCGGGGCUAAAACUUACUACCGAAGCUACGGCAUCAGUAAUGAUGGGUAGGGGAGCUUCCCAUACGGGUUGAAGCAUGACCGUAAGGACAUGUGGACAGUAUGGGAGUGAGAAUGUUGGCAUGAGUAGCGAGAUGUGGGUGAGAAUCCCACAGGCCGUAAACCCAAGGUUUCCAGGGGAAGGUUCGUCCGCCCUGGGUUAGUCGGGACCUAAGCUGAGGCCGAAAGGCGUAGGUGAUGGACAACAGGUUGAUAUUCCUGUACUACCGAUAACCGUUUGAGAGAAGGGAUGACACAGUAGGAUAAGCUAAGCACACUGUUGGUUAUGUGUGCCCAAGCAUUGAGGCAGUCAAAGUAGGCAAAUCCGCUUUGAUAAUGCUGGGAUGUGAUGGGGAGCGAAAUUUAGUAGCGAAGUAGCUGAUUUCACACUGUCAAGAAAAGUCUCUAUCGAGGUUAAAGGUACCCGUACCGCAAACCGACACAGGUGGGUGAGGAGAGUAUCCUAAGGCCAGCGAGAGAACUGUUGUUAAGGAACUCGGCAAAAUGACCCCGUAACUUAGGGAUAAGGGGUGCCACCAUCAGGUGGCCGCAGAGAAUAGGCCCAAGCGACUGUUUACCAAAAACAUAGGUUUCUGCUAAGUCGCAAGACGAUGUAUAGGAGCUGACGCCUGCCCGGUGCUGGAAGGUUAAGGGGAUCUGUUAGAGCAAUCGAAGCAGUGAACUUAAGCCCCAGUAAACGGCGGCCGUAACUAUAACGGUCCUAAGGUAGCGAAAUUCCUUGUCGGGUAAGUUCCGACCCGCACGAAAGGCGUAACGAUUUGGGCACUGUCUCAACAACAGACUCGGUGAAAUUGUAAUUCCGGUGAAGAUGCCGGAUACCUGCGACAGGACGGAAAGACCCCAUGGAGCUUUACUGUAGCUUGACAUUGGGUCUUGGUACUACAUGUACAGGAUAGGUGGGAGGCUUUGAAACCAGGACGCCAGUUUUGGCGGAGCCAUCCUUGGGAUACCACCCUUGUAGUACUGGGACUCUAACCAUAGGCCAUGAAUCUGGUCUUGGGACACUGUCAGGUGGGCAGUUUGACUGGGGCGGUCGCCUCCCAAAAGGUAACGGAGGCGCUCAAAGGUUCUCUCAGUACGGUCGGAAAUCGUACGUAGAGUGUAAAGGCAAAAGAGAGCUUGAUUGCAAGACAUACAGGUCGAGCAAGGAUGAAAAUCGGACUUAGUGAUCCGGUGGUUCUGCGUGGAAGGGCCAUCGCUCAACGGAUAAAAGCUACCCUGGGGAUAACAGGCUUAUCUCCCCCAAGAGUCCACAUCGACGGGGAGGUUUGGCACCUCGAUGUCGGCUCAUCACAUCCUGGGGCUGUAGUAGGUCCCAAGGGUUGGGCUGUUCGCCCAUUAAAGUGGUACGCGAGCUGGGUUCAGAACGUCGUGAGACAGUUCGGUCCCUAUCCGUCGCAGGCGUAGGAAAUUUGAGAAGACCUGUCCUUAGUACGAGAGGACCGGGAUGGACGUACCUCUGGUGUACCAGUUGUCCUGCCAAGGGCAUGGCUGGGUAGCUAUGUACGGAAUGGAUAAGCGCUGAAAGCAUCUAAGCGCGAAGCCAACUUCAAGAUAAGAUUUCCCACCGCAAGGGUAAGACCCCAGAAAGACUAUCUGGUUGAUAGGUCGAAGGUGUAAGUGCAGCAAUGUAUUUAGCUUAUCGAUACUAAUAGGUCGAGGACUUGACCAA